AAGUCGAGCGAACGGACGAGAAGCUUGCUUCUCUGAUGUUAGCGGCGGACGGGUGAGUAACACGUGGAUAACCUACCUAUAAGACUGGGAUAACUUCGGGAAACCGGAGCUAAUACCGGAUAAUAUUUUGAACCGCAUGGUUCAAAAGUGAAAGACGGUCUUGCUGUCACUUAUAGAUGGAUCCGCGCUGCAUUAGCUAGUUGGUAAGGUAACGGCUUACCAAGGCAACGAUGCAUAGCCGACCUGAGAGGGUGAUCGGCCACACUGGAACUGAGACACGGUCCAGACUCCUACGGGAGGCAGCAGUAGGGAAUCUUCCGCAAUGGGCGAAAGCCUGACGGAGCAACGCCGCGUGAGUGAUGAAGGUCUUCGGAUCGUAAAACUCUGUUAUUAGGGAAGAACAUAUGUGUAAGUAACUGUGCACAUCUUGACGGUACCUAAUCAGAAAGCCACGGCUAACUACGUGCCAGCAGCCGCGGUAAUACGUAGGUGGCAAGCGUUAUCCGGAAUUAUUGGGCGUAAAGCGCGCGUAGGCGGUUUUUUAAGUCUGAUGUGAAAGCCCACGGCUCAACCGUGGAGGGUCAUUGGAAACUGGAAAACUUGAGUGCAGAAGAGGAAAGUGGAAUUCCAUGUGUAGCGGUGAAAUGCGCAGAGAUAUGGAGGAACACCAGUGGCGAAGGCGACUUUCUGGUCUGUAACU
rnacentral:rRNA from 1 species